rnacentral:lncRNA from 1 species
GUUUUAUAAGUUGCAAUUAAAGCUCUUGGCCUUCUAGUUAACCGAGGCAGCGUAGAUUAAAGGGCAGUUUUAUGCAACCAGGACGGAUUUGAUGAAAUCACCAGCCACAGAGAUUGGAGUGGCUUUGACUGCAGUUGCUCAUUUUUUCCCGUUUGAUCCUCCCUGCAUCUCAGAGGUAGCUGUUGACUUGGGUCUUAGAAAAAACACUGUGCGUUCGAGCGCUGAGAAUUCUAGGGCUGAGGUAUAAGGGGAUUUUUUUUAAUGUGGUUUUCCUCUGUGUUAGGAACUCAGUCACGGGCUGGUUGGUGUAGUAUUGGCUGGUUGAUACAGCGUUGGCUGGUUGGUGCAGCGUUGGCUAAGUGGUAUAGUUUUGGUUGGUUAUUACAGUUUUUAUUGGUUAUUGUAGCUUGGCUGGUUGGUGUAGCGCGCGGAGCGUUUCCAGACAUCAAACCACGGGUCUGUGCAGAUUCUGUCUUGAACAGCUGCGCCCCUUCUUCUGCUGCCCCUCCUUCUGCUGCCCCGUGCAUUUAGACUCCUGUCUGUAACCAGUGAAAUCCCCCACAAGUGCGCUCGGAAUUUUUAGAAACACGGCACGGGCUGCGUUUGCAUUUUCACUGUAUUAACUUCAUGCGUGGAGUGCGUGAUGCGCUGUUUCUCACUUGACAUGUUCAGCAAAUCGUGGGAAACACUUAAAAAUCCUUAAAAAAUACUCCACCCCGUCCAACCCGCCGCCCGCUGCCCAUCCUCAGGAGCCACGUACCUCCGGCUCCUCUGAGUUCUGGCACUUUCCAGGAAGCACUGCUGCUGCCCCUCAUCUGGGCAGCGAUGUGGCCUCCAUGAGUGACCUCAGUUAAGGCUCUUUAGCAAGGAGUGCUGUGCGCGCCAGCCCUCAGGCCCCAGGGCACCUCACUGCUAUCUGUAAGGAGGCUCAGGGCACCCAGCACCAUGCAGGAGGCCUGAGCUCUGCCUGCUGGUCUGAUGGGAGGUAAACUGGGUGCCUGAGGGGGGAUUGUGGUGGGGGGGGACUGAGAACGCUGGGGGCUUCACCACACAGGUCCCCUGCACCCUCCCCACAUCCCAGAGGAGAAGGUCUGGGCUGGAGCUCCCAAGGGUAGACAGGGAUGCCUCGGGGCACCCACCUCAGCAUUUAGGGUCACCUUCCCCUCCCUACCAGCCCUCCGCAGUGGCAGUGCCUGCGUCCCUCAGCCUGGGCGUUAGUGGUCUUGGCUGCCCCCCUCCACAGUGACAGUGCCUGCGUCCCUCAGCCUGGGCGUUGGUGACCUUGGCCCCCCUCUGCAGUGGCAGUGCCUGUACCCCUCAGCCUGGGCAUUGGUGGCUUUGGCCCCCCUCCGCAGUGACAGUGCCUGCAUCCCUCAGCCUGGGCAUUGGUGGCCUUGGCUGCCCUUAUGACACCAUUUCUGUCGGCAGCCACCUCCAAGCACCUGCACGAGUCCACCUGAGGGGCUGUAGAGCUCCUGGUACCUGGUCCAUCCCACGAGGAUGCUGUGCCCAUGGGGGCUGCAACUCUGGGGCUCUGGGCACCGCUCUGCACUCCACGGAAGCCCACGACUGCAGCCUCACCCAUUAUUCUGAUUUUGAAAAAAAUAAAUAAAUAACCACAGCCUGGGUUUUAGAGAUGAUUUGGUUUUAUGCCAGCGUCCACCUUGACAGAGCUUUUCCCUCACAGCGGUGCCUCCCUGCUGUGUGGAUGUACAAGGGCCUCGCCGGGCUGGGCUCAUAGGGCCCCUCAGGCUGCAGCAGCCAGUCGAGGGCUGGGGGCCUGGGUCUGACUCACCCCGGCAGGGCAGACAGCCCCAUAGGAGGUCAGCAGAGAUGAAGGGCACAUGACCCCUGGUCAGG